AGCGUUGCUCCGUGGCAGUCUCAUAGUUCAUGAGGUUUAUCUAAGGCGUGAUUAUUGCUAAUUGAAAACUUUUUCCAAUACCCCUCCAUGAUGACUUGAAAUAUAGUCAGCAUUGGUAAUUUUUGACAGUCUCUAUGGAGA
ensembl:snRNA U4 U4 spliceosomal RNA